UAGGCUACACAAUCAUGGGGAAGACUGCUGACCUGACAGUUGUCCACAAGACAACCAUUGACACCUAGCACAAGGAGGGUGAGACACAAACAGUAAUUGCUAAAGAGGUGACUGUUCACAGAGCUCUGUGUCCAAGCACAUUAAUAGAGAGGCGAAGGGAAGGAAAAGAUGUGGUAGAAAAAAAGUGUACAAGCAAUAGGGAUAACCGCACCCUGGAGAGGAUUGUAAAACAAAACCCAUUCAAAAAUGUGGGGGAGAUUCACAAAGGGCGGACUGCAGCUGGAGUCAGUGCUUCAAGAACCACCACGCACAGACGUAUGCAAGACAUGGGUUUCAGCUGUCACAUUCCUUAUGUCAAGCCACUCUUGAACAAGAGACAGAAGCAUCUCGCCUGGGCUAAAGACAUAAAGGACUGGACUGCUACUGAGUGCUCCAAUGUUCUGAUGAAAGUCAAUUUUGCAUGUCCUUUGGAAAUCAAGGUCCCAGAGUCUGGAGGAAGAGAGGAGAGGCACAGAAUCCACAAUGCUUGAGAUCCAAGGUGAACGAAGCCUUCUACCAGGAAGUUUAAGAGCACUUCGCGCUUCCUGCUGCUGACGAACUUUAUGGAGAUGCAGAUUUCAUUUUCCGACAGGACUUGGCACCUGCACACAGUGCCAAAGCUACCAGUACCUGCUUUAAGGACCAUCUGAACAAUUUUUGCAGAUGAAAAGUACUAUGAAUAUUUUGAGGGUAAAAAAAAUUCAGUAUUAGUAGUACCCCGCCUCCUGCCCGAUGACAGCUGGGAUAGGCUCCAGCACGCCCGCGACCCUAGUGAGGAGAAGCGGCUCAGAAAAUGGAUGGAUGGAUAAUUCAGAUUCCAAAUCUGAUGGCACAGAUAUACAUCCAUAUUGGAGGACCCAUGACUUGUGGUUAGGACUAAGCUUGUUCUUUGCUUUAUAGGCUUCAUUUCUGCUUCUGUAAACAUAAAGCUGAUGUGACUUGUCAAAGUGUAUAUCUUUUUGAAGAAUAUCACAUUUUAGUCCAGGCUUGAUUAAUGAAUUUGUUUUUUAAAUAAUUCCGUUGAACCACAAAAAUAAAGCAAUGGCUGAUUUUCAUUGGUUCAUUUUCUGCAAAUGAUUAUCAAUUAUUACUGUUGGCAGUUUUAUGUUUUUUCAGCAUUUGCACAUACCGUGUAGGUUUUUCUUUCUUUAAUGGGAGGGCACCAACAUUUUAGGCGGACCUACUAGCCACUAAAAACAGAGCACGCUAGAAUGGCACUGAAUAGUGUAUACCUCUACCAAGGCAAAACAAUCCCAGUUUGGAUGAGCUCACCCUCAUACUAUAAAUACCCACCUGCUGCAU